AUUGAACGCUGGCGGCAGGCCUAACACAUGCAAGUCGAACGAGUGGCGGACGGGUGAGUAAUGUCUGGGAAACUGCCUGAGGGAGGGGGAUAACUACUGGGAACUGUAGCUGCUACCGCAUACCAUCAGAUGUGCCCAGAUGGGCGUAGCUAGUUGGUGGGGUAACGGCGCACCAAGGCGAGGAUCCCUAGCUGGUCUGAGAGGAUGACCAGCCACACUGGAACUGAGACACGGUCCAGACUCCUACGGGAGGCAGCAGUGGGGAAUAUUGCACAAUGGGCGCAAGCCUGAUGCAGCCAUGCCGCGUGUAUGAAGAAGGCCUUCGGGUUGUAAAGUACUUUCAGCGGGGAGGCGUUACCCGCAGAAGAAGCACCGGCUAACUCCGUGCCAGCAGCCGCGGUAAUAC
rnacentral:rRNA from 1 species